AAAACAGAAAUAAUUCACAAAGUCUGAGUCUCAGAAAUCAUACCAGUGAUCGCUCUGUUGCUGGUACCACGUAUCUCACGCGUAGUGCUGCUGCAAUAUGUGCUAACUGCUGCAUAUUUUGCUGCACUCCCUGCUGCACCUGCACUCCCUGCUGCACCUACGCUCCCUUCUGCACCGCCGGCUGUACUACUGCCACUACCAUCCGCUGCAGCUUAGGACAAUUCGGCCUGAGAUGUCCCCUCUCUCUACAGUGGUAGCACUCCCUCGUCUCAGCUCGCUGCGUGCAAUCCGCUACCUUGUGGACAAGGCCUUCACAAGAAAAACAUCCUCCACGACUACCCUGUCCAGUUCUGGAAGGAUGGUCCCACUUCCUCUUAUGCCCCUGCGCAGGCUUGCCGCCCUUGCUAGGUGCCACGUGCUGCUGAGUCUUCUUCGGCUGUACCGCUAGACUCACUGUCUUUACCUCAGCAGCCGUCUCCACUAGUGCCGCCUUCUUGGCGUACUGCGACACUCUACACCGCAACCUCAGAUCCGGUCGAAGUCCCCUCAAGAACUUCCUCAACUGGGGCUGGUCAUCUUCCAUGCCCCGAUCCGUAUACAUCAAGAAUCAGUUAAUCUCUCGGUCAUACUCCCAAACCGACCGCUCACCCUGUGUCAGCUCAAGAAAACGAGCCUCUAUACGGUCGAGCGCUUCCUGCGGAAAGUACUUGGCAUUAAACUCAGCCACAAAAUCUGCCUAAGAUAUAUCUGCUGGCCUUCUCAUGGCAGUCACAUCCACCACCACAAAU
rnacentral:sRNA from 1 species